rnacentral:pre_miRNA from 1 species
GCUGGUGUUGAGAGGCGGAGACUUGGGCAAUUGCCGACCAUCCCAGAGGGCAUUGCACUUGUCUCGGUCUGACAGUGCCGGC